GCAUUUAUUAUCAAUGCAAAGUCGAACACUUUGAGAUUAGAUGCAGAUCAGCGUGCAGGGCUGGACGUGAGGAUGGGGCACUCUUUGCUCUGUUUGCUGGGGUUAUUCUUGCUCAGUACAGUCAUCCAUGGAAACACUGAAGAACUUGGAGUGAAGGCCACUCUGACAGCAGACAGAUUAACCAUACCAGCAGGGGGCAGUGUGACACUGACCUGUGAUGUAAAACACUCUGCUGACUUUGAAUAUGGCUGGUUCA